rnacentral:rRNA from 1 species
ACGGGUGAGUAACACGUGGACAAUCUGCCCCCGGCCGGGAUAGCCCAGGGAAACCUGGAUUAAUACCGGAUGAGACGGGACCCGCGAAGGCGGGACCCGGGAAAGGCGCUGCGGCGCCGGCGGGGGAUGAGUCUGCGUCCCAUUAGCUAGACGCGGGGUAACGGCCCACCGUGGCGACGAUGGGUAGCCGGCCUGAGAGGGUGGACGGCCACAUUGGAACUGAGACACGGUCCAGACUCCUACGGGAGGCAGCAGCUAAGAAUCUUCCGCAAUGGGCGAAAGCCUGACGGAGCGAACCGCCGCGUGAACGAAGAAGGCCGUGAGGUUGUAAAGUUCUUUUCGGGAGGGGGAACAACCGUGGCAGGGAAUGGCCGCGGGAUGACGUGAAUCCCGGAAUAAGCCCCGGCUAACUACGUGCCAGCCGCCGC